rnacentral:rRNA from 1 species
GUUGCCAUCAGGUCAAGCUGGGGACUCUAAUGAAACUGCCUACGCAAGUAGUGAGGAAGGUGGGGAUGACGUCAAAUCAGCACGGCCCUUACGUCCAGGGCUACACACGUGCUACAAUGGCCGGUACAAAGGGCAGCUACCUGGUGACAGGAUGCUAAUCUCAAAAGCCGGUCUCAGUUCGGAUCGGAGUCUGCAACUCGACUGCAUGAAGUUGGAAUCGCUAGUAAUCGUGGAUCAGCCAAGCCGCGGUGAAUACGUUCCCGGGCCUU